GAUGAACGCUGGCGGCGUGCCUAAUACAUGCAAGUCGAGCGAACAGACGAGGAGCUUGCUCCUUUGACGUUAGCGGCGGACGGGUGAGUAACACGUGGGUAACCUACCUAUAAGACUGGGAUAACUUCGGGAAACCGGAGCUAAUACCGGAUAAUAUUUCGAACCGCAUGGUUCGAUAGUGAAAGAUGGCUUUGCUAUCACUUAUAGAUGGACCUGCGCCGUAUUAGCUAGUUGGUAAGGUAACGGCUUACCAAGGCAACGAUCCGUAGCCGACCUGAGAGGGUGAUCGGCCACACUGGAACUGAGACACGGUCCAGACUCCUACGGGAGGCAGCAGUAGGGAAUCUUCCGCAAUGGGCGAAAGCCUGACGGAGCAACGCCGCGUGAGUGAUGAAGGUCUUCGGAUCGUAAAACUCUGUUAUUAGGGAAGAACAAACGUGUAAUUAACUGUUCACGUCUUGACGGUACCUAAUCAGAAAGCCACGGCUAACUACGUG
rnacentral:rRNA from 1 species